rnacentral:rRNA from 2 species
UUAAAUUGAAGAGUUUGAUCAUGGCUCAGAUUGAACGCUGGCGGCAGGCCUAACACAUGCAAGUCGAACGGUAACAGGAAGCAGCUUGCUGCUUCGCUGACGAGUGGCGGACGGGUGAGUAAUGUCUGGGAAACUGCCUGAUGGAGGGGGAUAACUACUGGAAACGGUGGCUAAUACCGCAUAACGUCGCAAGACCAAAGAGGGGGACCUUCGGGCCUCUUGCCAUCAGAUGUGCCCAGAUGGGAUUAGCUUGUUGGUGAGGUAACGGCUCACCAAGGCGACGAUCCCUAGCUGGUCUGAGAGGAUGACCAGCCACACUGGAACUGAGACACGGUCCAGACUCCUACGGGAGGCAGCAGUGGGGAAUAUUGCACAAUGGGCGCAAGCCUGAUGCAGCCAUGCCGCGUGUAUGAAGAAGGCCUUCGGGUUGUAAAGUACUUUCAGCGGGGAGGAAGGUGUUGUGGUUAAUAACCGCAGCAAUUGACGUUACCCGCAGAAGAAGCACCGGCUAACUCCGUGCCAGCAGCCGCGGUAAUACGGAGGGUGCAAGCGUUAAUCGGAAUUACUGGGCGUAAAGCGCACGCAGGCGGUCUGUCAAGUCGGAUGUGAAAUCCCCGGGCUCAACCUGGGAACUGCAUUCGAAACUGGCAGGCUUGAGUCUUGUAGAGGGGGGUAGAAUUCCAGGUGUAGCGGUGAAAUGCGUAGAGAUCUGGAGGAAUACCGGUGGCGAAGGCGGCCCCCUGGACAAAGACUGACGCUCAGGUGCGAAAGCGUGGGGAGCAAACAGGAUUAGAUACCCUGGUAGUCCACGCCGUAAACGAUGUCUACUUGGAGGUUGUGCCCUUGAGGCGUGGCUUCCGGAGCUAACGCGUUAAGUAGACCGCCUGGGGAGUACGGCCGCAAGGUUAAAACUCAAAUGAAUUGACGGGGGCCCGCACAAGCGGUGGAGCAUGUGGUUUAAUUCGAUGCAACGCGAAGAACCUUACCUGGUCUUGACAUCCACAGAACUUUCCAGAGAUGGACUGGUGCCUUCGGGAACUGUGAGACAGGUGCUGCAUGGCUGUCGUCAGCUCGUGUUGUGAAAUGUUGGGUUAAGUCCCGCAACGAGCGCAACCCUUAUCCUUUGUUGCCAGCGGUUAGGCCGGGAACUCAAAGGAGACUGCCAGUGAUAAACUGGAGGAAGGUGGGGAUGACGUCAAGUCAUCAUGGCCCUUACGACCAGGGCUACACACGUGCUACAAUGGCGCAUACAAAGAGAAGCGACCUCGCGAGAGCAAGCGGACCUCAUAAAGUGCGUCGUAGUCCGGAUUGGAGUCUGCAACUCGACUCCAUGAAGUCGGAAUCGCUAGUAAUCGUGGAUCAGAAUGCCACGGUGAAUACGUUCCCGGGCCUUGUACACACCGCCCGUCACACCAUGGGAGUGGGUUGCAAAAGAAGUAGGUAGCUUAACCUUCGGGAGGGCGCUUACCACUUUGUGAUUCAUGACUGGGGUGAAGUCGUAACAAGGUAACCGUAGGGGAACCUGCGGUUGGAUCACCUCCUUACCUUAAAGAAGC